UUCGGGGCCUGGCGCCUGAAGAGGAGCCCGCGGCCAAUUAGCUUGUUGGUGAGGUAAUGGCUCACCAAGGCUCCGAUUGGUAGCCGGCCUGAGAGGGCGGACGGUCACACUGGAACUGAGACACGGUCCAGACUCCUACGGGAGGCAGCAGCAGGGAAUCUUGGGCAAUGGGCGAAAGCCUGACCCAGCGACGUCGCGUGGGGGACGAAGGCCUUAGGGUUGUAAACCCCUUUUCCGAGGGAAGAUACAGGACGGUACCUCGGGAAUAAGCCCCGGCUAACUACGUGCCAGCAGCCGCGGUAAUACGUAGGGGGCAAGCGUUACCCGGAAUCACUGGGCGUAAAGUGCGCGUAGGCGGUUGGAUAAGUCUCUUGUGAAAGCUCCCGGCUCAACUGGGAGAGGUCAAGGGAUACUAUUCGACUUGAGGACAGCAGAGGUAAGCAGAAUUCCCGGUGUAGCGGUGGAAUACGUAGAUAUCAGGAGGAAUACCGGUGGCGAAGGCGGUUGCCUGGUCCAUUACUGACACUCAGAUGC
rnacentral:rRNA from 1 species